AGGCCAGUUUUUAACCUCUUUCCCUCUCUCCCUUCUUGCUUUUCCCCCUGUGCCCCUGUGUCCCCUGUCCCUGUGCUGGUCCGAGCUGGCGGCCGGGCCGGGCAGAGCAGCAGUUCCAGCCCCGGGUGUCCCUGGAGCGGUGGGAGCUGCCGGUGGCCCCAGGCAGGGUCCCCUGAGGAGCUGCUGAAGGACGCUGCCCUGCAGAGCCUGAGGACAGGCGGAGACUGGCAGGAGGCAGCAGGGAGAAGCUGCAGGCCGGCAGCAGGAGCAGGGAGCAGGGAGCUGCUGCUGCCAGCCGAGAGGCCGGGAGAGCUGCUCUGCACGGGAGGAAGCAAGGACGGAGGGAAAGGCUUUGAAGAUGGGGCGCUGGAAUCCCUCUGCUUCGCGUUCUAUUUAAAGAUCUAUGGACUUGAACAUAGAGAGGGAUAAUGAUAUGGAUAUUCAUAUAUCUGGGUUUCUAUUUGUAUAGGAAUAUUUCUAUAUGUAUAUUGUUAUG